UACAUGGGGGGCAAGCGUUGUUCGGAAUUACUGGGCAUAAAGGGUGCGUAGGUGGUUUGCUAAGUCAGGGGUGAAAUCCCGCGGCCCAACCGUGGAACUGCCUUUGAUACUGGCGAACUUGAGUGCGGGAGGGGUAACCGGAACGAGCAGUGUAGCGGUGAAAUGCGUAGAUAUUGCUCGGAAGGCCAGAGGCGAAGGCAGGUUACUGGUACGCAACUGACACUGAGGCACGAAAGCGUGGGGAGCGAACAGG
rnacentral:rRNA from 1 species